rnacentral:tRNA from 3 species
GGAAGUUGUCCGGCACGGACGAGGACACCGUUUUGAACACGGCUGCGGUUUAUACCGUCGAGAGUUCGAUUCUCUCAACUUCCGC